rnacentral:lncRNA from 1 species
UGGCCUUUUUAACUUUUUUGGAUUCGAGCGUCACUGAUGAGUCUUUUAUAGACGAAACUCGCGUCUGGCGUAUAUAUAGAAUUUAGUCCUCGUAUCUAUGAUGAGUUUACUACCUGAGUUUUCCUGUAAAAUGGAUGCGCGCGAAUGUAAUCAAAAGCUCCGCGCAAACGUAAAACAUUUUAAUCCCCAAAUGCGCGCAAACGUAGUG